AACGGCUCAGUAACACGUGGAUAAUCUACCCUAAGGUGGAGGAUAACCUCGGGAAACUGAGGAUAAUACUCCAUAGGUCUAGGAUGCUGGAAUGCACUUAGGCUGAAAACUUCGGUGCCCUAGGAUGAGUCUGCGGACUAUCAGGUUGUAGUCAGGGUAAAGACCUGACUAGCCUACGACGGAUACGGGUUGUGAGAGCAAUAACCCGGAGAUGAUAUCUGAGACACGAUAUCAGGCCCUACGGGGCGCAGCAGGCGCGAAACCUUCACACUGCGCGAAAGCGCGAUGAGGGAAUCCAAAGUGCUUGCACGUAAGUGUAAGCUGUUUUUAUGUCUAAAAAGCAUAGAGAGUAAGAGCUGGGUAAGACGGGUGCCAGCCGCCGCGGUAAUACCUGCAGCUCGAGUGGUGGUCGCUAUUAUUGGGCCUAAAACGUUCGUAGCCGGUUUGUUAAAUGCCUAGGUAAAUAGUAUAGCUUAACUAUACGAAUUCUGGGUAGACUGUCAAACUUGAGAUCGGGAGAGGCUAGAGGUACUCCUGGGGUAGAGGUGGAAUCCUGUAAUCCUAGGGGGACCACCAGUGGCGAAGGCGUCUAGCUAGAACGAGUCUGACGGUGAGGGACGAAGCCCUGGGGCGCAAACGGGAUUAGAUACCCCGGUAGUCCAGGGUGUAAACGCUGCUUGCUUGAUGUUAGUCGGGCUCU
rnacentral:rRNA from 1 species